UACGAAGGGGGCUAGCGUUGUUCGGAUUUACUGGGCGUAAAGCGCACGUAGGCGGAUUGUUAAGUCGGGGGUGAAAUCCUGGAGCUCAACUCCAGAACUGCCUUCGAUACUGGCAAUCUCGAGUCCGGAAGAGGUAAGUGGAACUCCUAGUGUAGAGGUGGAAUUCGUAGAUAUUAGGAAGAACACCAGUGGCGAAGGCGGCUUACUGGUCCGGUACUGACGCUGAGGUGCGAAAGCGUGGGGGAGCAAAACAGG
rnacentral:rRNA from 1 species